rnacentral:lncRNA from 1 species
GAAAAAAGAUACAGACCAAUUGCUGAAGAUGUCCUUUUGCGAGCUUUCGAGGUUUUGGAUCCAACUAAACGUGGGUUUCUGACUAAGGAUGAACUAGUCAAGUACAUGACUGAGGAAGGAGUGUUGUUCCCAUGGAGGCUCCCUCUGGAGCUGGAGUUACAUGGUAACUCAACUCAUGGUCUUAAUUUCUGAGCCAUCCUUUCAGCCCCAAUUAUACACUUUUAACAAUUAUGCAAAAUUUAUAGGAGAUGAUACUUUAAAAACAAUGAUUUGAUUAAAUAGUUAUUUCUAUUAUUUUGAUUUGGCAUUUGAUUUUGUAUAAUAGAAGUAAAAUGAUUACUUGUAUAAAUUAUGCUUACUUUAUUUACUUAAAAUAUUUCCUGAAUAUGCCACUUAAAGAACAUUAACUAUCAAUCAUAAACUAUGCCUUUUUGGAUAGAAGAUUUGAAUUAAAGUAUAUACAAUUUCUUUU